CCUACGGGUGGCUGCAGUCGAGAAUCAUUCACAAUGGGGGAAACACUGAUGGUGCGAAGCAGCGUGGGGGAAUGAAGGUCUUCGGAUUGUAAACCCCUGUCAUGUGGGAGCAAAUUAAAAAGAUAGUACCACAAGAGGAAGAGACGGCUAACUCUGUGCCAGCAGCCGCGGGAAUACAGAGGUGUCAAGCGUUGUUCGCAAUCACUGGGCGUAAAGCGUGCGUAGGCUGUUUCGUAAGUCAUGUGUGAAAGGCGCGGGCUCAACCCGCGGACGGCACAUGAUACUGCGAGACUAGAGUAAUGGAGGGGGAACCGGAAUUCUCGGUGUAGCAGUGAAAUGCGUAGAUAUCGAGAGGAACACUCGUGGCGAAGGCGGGUUCCUGGACAUUAACUGACGCUGAGGCACGAAGGCCAGGGGAGCGAAAGGGAUUAGAUACCCGGGUAGUC
rnacentral:rRNA from 1 species